GCAGAGUCCCUGCCGAAGUCUGCGUCAUGAAAGGGGGAAGGGAAGCAACUUUACAGCAGAGAGGGUCCAGGUGAGCAAGGUCAGCCCCCACAGUGAUGGUUUGUGCUGAUUGUACACACCUUGAUGCGGCUGUGAAAGCAGCAGCCUACCUCCUUAUCUUCUGCUCAAAUCCAGAGCUGCAGUUGCAUCAUAAAGACGUAUGAGACAGGAGGUUCCUGCUGGUACGACAGGUUAAGGACCUGGCAUAGGUCACUGCCGAGACACGGGUUCCAUCCCUGGCCUGGGAACUCCCACAUGCCACAGGCGUGGUCAAAAAUAAAAAUAAAUUAAAAAGAAAAGAAAAAACAGACAAAUCCCAACAGGGUAAUUCUACAUGAUAGCUCAGUAUUCCUCAGUAUUUUCAAGGUCUCAGCCAAGAGGUGCCCAGUGGACAUGGUGAACAAAUGUAAGGAGGCAUUGGGGAUGAGACCCAGAACAAAAAUAGGACACAGGGUAAACCCCAAGCAUCUCCGAAUAAAGUCUGGACUUCACUUGAUAAUAACACCCAAUGUCGUUUCAUGAACUGUGCCAGGUGUAACCCAGGCAGGUAAGAUGUUGCUCCCUGGGGAAAGAGAGCACAUGCCUUGCAGUGAGAGUCUGUCCUAUCACGGCACGACUGUCCUAUAUGGCUCGAGCCAUCCUCAAAGAAAAGGUGUAUUUUAAAUCGACACCUUAAAAUAAAAAUCAUAGGGCAGUAGGUGGCGAAUAAAAAAACCUUAAACUAAAGGGAAUAAUUUAAUGACUUUUCAACACACAGCCAAGUCUCAACACAAAAGAGUGAGAGAGGAGCGCCUGUGUCGGAGGAGGUCAAAGCUACGCGCCAGAGAGGAUUAGUGCCUUUGCCGAAUCUCAAAGGCGUCAUUGGAGGGAAGGCAGGCAGCUGGCCUCCCAAUGCCAACAGUUUGUUCCAGACGAACAGAAACCCUGGGGUGGAACAGUCACAUAUCUGAUCAACAGGGUAAAUGGGGCCGUUCAUCAGUCAUUUGUUCAUCUCUGAACGAACGUGGCAGCUGAUGGUGAGACAGCCGAAAUCAUGACUGAAGACAGACAAGCCGGCUUCUCGCUGGGUGGGGCAGAGCGACCGUGGGUUUUAGGUGGAACUGCCUUUUCCGUCCGUUCAAGGGAGGACCCGUUCCCGUUUCCACAACUCCCUUUUCUCAUCACGGCCACCUCCUCCCGGAAAGUGCCCGCACCGUCGGCCCACCCGCCCUGCCCACACGGGCGCCCAGCCUUGACUGCAUUUAUGGCACUUGCCCUUAUAAAUCAGCUUCAUCUAUUAUAACGUUACUGCCCCUGCCCCUGCCCCCCCAAGCAUCUCUCGUGUUCUCCUUUUGUUGAAGAAUCCGUGUUGAUCCAAUCAUCCCUCUGCCUCGUAAGUCAUAUGUUAUCCGAUUAUCAUUUCAGUGCUUUAUUCGAUUCUGUCUUUCCAUUUACCCCAACUGCUUCUUCCUUUUUAAUCGCGGUGCCUUAGAACUGCGAACUUCUGACGCAGAGCUCCCCACAGAGGCCACACCCAUCGCGCUAAAUGAACGUGAACUGAUGGAAAAAAGGCAGAUGUUUUCAAAUUAUGUAUUUUCAUCCCUGAAUAUAUAAAAUCUGGUCAACGUUGGGAGGGAAGACGUGGAACUGCCGUAUCUGCCGAGGACGUGAUCGUUCGUACAGGAAGCUCCAAAGCCUCCGCCCCGAACAGUUAGAACCAGUCAACCAGUCGAAGAAUUCAGCAAAGCUGCAGGGUACAAGAAGAAUAUCCAGAAGUUUCAGGUUCAGCCUCAAACGUAUCGAAUUGCCUUUUAUAAAGUCUCCUCCGUGGUGUUGAUGGGCCCUUUGGCAGGGCCUGGUCAGCCGCUUUGGAUCAUUCAGUGCGGAGACCUUCAGACAGUUUGCUGGUGUGCGAAGAUGUGCUCACCUGCGGUUUUACUCAAAAUGUGUCACUGCUGCGGGGGAGGGUCUUCUUGCCAUAAGGGCCAGGUGCGGCCAGUGUCCAGACGCCAGUGCCCACUCUCCGAAGAGGCCUCGCUCUGACCAGAUGGACUCUUAGCCGUGUCCUGUACGGGCAGCCUCAUCCACCCUUUCCCACCCAGAGCGGCAGGAUGUCCCCGACGUAAGUGACACACCCUCGGCGUCAUGGCCCCUUGGGUGGCUAACUUCCGCCCUUAACGGUUCCACUUGCCUAUUUUUCUUCAUAUCCUGCUUGCUCAUUACUCAUGUUCAAUUAUGAGUCAGAUUUCUUCUGGAGUUUAAUUAUUCCUCUGGCUGAAGAUGACAAAUUAAUUUGCUUAUUAACUCUUUAGCACCUUUUAAAUUCAGUGAACCUGGUACGUAUCCUAUUUCACUCUCUGUGGUGGGGCUGCUGCUUUUUCCAGGAAUUAUCGCAAUGGGUGGGAGAGAGGAAUUGGGUAGAUAAAGUCAUGGAAAGUUAGCCCCGCCGUGCCUGCCUCCCGGGUAAAGCUUUUCUGGGGUCAUGUAUCAAUGGCUUAUGCAAAUUCAAACCUACCUCAUCCCAAGCCACAGCAUUAUUGAAAUGCUCUUUUAUUUUAAAUAUUAUUAUUUAUUUCCUUGGGAAAACAUAUGUUCUGUAUGUACAGCGUUUGUAGAUGAAGCUCAAGCUUCAUAAUCUCCUGUGCUGUGUAGUCUCCCAAACGUCAGUAAAAAUCCGGUCAUGAGAUUUAAGCUUAUACUUCACUUUCUUAUUGUCUUUUCCAUCUUUCGAUCCGGGUCAAUUAUUCCUCUCAAUAUUUUAAAUGAUCUUAUAGAAGAUAGAAAUGCAGGCAGCGUUUUUUUAAGUUCGUAUUUUUAGGGCAGUUUUAGUUUCUCAGGAAAACCUGCUGAAAGUACAGACAAAUCCCAUAUCUCAUUCCAUAGCGUUUCCCCUAUUAUUAGCAUCUUCCGUUAGUGUGGUACAGUCGUUUCAAUGGCUGAAGCAGUACUGAUACCUUAGGAUUAAGCCUGCAUUUGAGGAGUGUCAGUACAGUGGACGAAAGGUAGUUUCCACAAAUGAUGCUGGGACAACUAGACAUCAGCCUGCAGGACACUGAAUCCUGACAGAAACUCUUCCCCUUCACAACACUGGCUCACAAUGGAUCAUAGACUAAAUGUAAGAUGCAAAAUCGUGAUAUACUUACGUGAUAACCAAGGAGAAUACGUAGAGGACCUGGGUAAGAUGAUGGGUUUUAGAUAAUGACACCGAAAACAUAAUCCAUGAAGGAAAUAUCUGUCCAAAACAAAAAAUAAAAUAAAAGAGAGAGAGAGAAUAGGCAAUCCACAGACUGGGAGGAAAUCUUCUAAGGGCAUAACGACAACAAUCUCUCAUCCCAAACAUGCGAAGAACACGACACAAAACUCAACAAUAAGAAACGAAGCAACUCAGUUAAAUAAUAGGCAAAACACAGCAAUGGAUACCUCGCCAAGGAAGGUACGCAGACGGUGAAGAGGCACAGGAAACAUGCUCCUCUUCCUCUGUCCUCAGGGAAAGCAAAUUAAAACCACAACGAGACACCACCACGCACCUAUUUGAAUGGAGUCAAAACCCAGAGCGCAGACCACACCAAGAGCUGGCGAGGACGUGAGCAAUGGGAACCCUCAUUCACGGCUGGUGGGAAAGCCAAGUGGGGCAGCCACUGCGGAAGACAGUUUGGGGGCGUCUCACAAAGCUAAACCCUCUCACCCUAAGCUCUGGCAACCACGCUCCUGGUAGUCAUUCAAAGGAGUUGAAGAUGAAUGUCCACACAAACCCUGCCCAUGGAUGUCCACGGCGGUGCCCACACUUGGGCGCCACCGAGAUUUCCCUCAGUCGGAGAGAGAUCCAGACAAUGGGACGUUACUCAGCUAAAAAGAAAGGAGCCGUCAGCUCGGAGGAGACAUAAGAAAACGGAGUGGAAGAAGCCAAUCUGAAAUGACUUCAGACGAAAGCUGUUGAAGAUGGAUUAGAAGGUAUUACAUGAUUCUCUUUGCCUGUGUUUGAGAUGGUACGUAACACACCGCUCUGUCUCCUCUGCGUUUAUUUUAUAAUCCCUCCCCGUUUGCAAUGGUCAUGAGGGAUACUAGAAGGAAAGACCGAAUUUCAGCAUGGAAACUUUUGAGUGCUAAGACGAAAAUAGUGAUCAGUGAACACAGAGUGAAUCCAAACAGAAUUUAAAAAAAAAUUUGUGUUGGGGAUGACAUAGUAUGUAAUAACUCAGUAAUCACUAGAGAUAGAGGCUUAUAAAAUAGAUGCAAAAUAAUUGACUAUAUCAAGCUGGUUUCAGAUAGUUGCAUUGCUGUGCUCGCCUGGAUCCUGUCAGUUUCUUACAAGACAAGCUAUAGUUCUGUGGUUGCUACUUUACCUAGUUAAUGUUGACUUUUUCUUGCCUCCUUUUUUCCUUCCUUCCUUCCUUUGUUUAUUAUUUUAGUAUAUGAACAUUUGUGUGAUACCUCUGUGUUGGAAAGGUAGGGGAGUGCUCAGCUUACAUGCACAUCUUUCUGGGAACAUAAAUUUAAUUUGGUAAAGAGCUGGAUACAGAGGUUGCUCGAGCACGCGCCAGUUCUGCAUCCAUACUCUGAGGACGCAGUAGGAUGUAUCAGUGGAUUUGCUGAGUUCUGUUUCUGUUUCUGGCUCUGUGUCAAAAGCUUGGGAAGGAGGAAUGAAAGGGAUCAAACGCCUAAUCUUGGGCAAUCCAAACGAAUGGGAAACUUGCCUGGCAGGGCUGCCACGACCUUUCCAGCUGGAAACAGCCUGGGGACAACGGGAUAGUUUCCCACAGGCCCAGCAAGGGAAACCCCUGGGAUCCAAAGGUCCUGAUCAAGUUUUUUCAAUGGAAUGAAGAAGGCUUCCCUGUGACAUUUUUUUUUUUUUUCAUUCUAGAAUAGAUUCUUGCAAUUAGGGAUUUCUUCCCCGAUAAGUUUAUGUGCCCGGUAGGAGUACUUGAAAAUAUCUAUAUUAUUGAAUUCUCUCCUGAGAAUAUUAUGUCUUAAAAUUUUUAUUGACACAUCUGGAAACCUCGGAGUCUACUGAUCCUUUAUAACUCACACUCAGAACACUUUGGGGAACUCCCGUCAUGGCGCAGUGGUUAACGAAUCCGACUAGGAACCAUGAGGUCGCGGGUUCGAUCCCUGCCCUUGCUCAGUGGGUUAACGAUCCGGCGUUGCCGUGAGCUGUGGUGUAGGUUGCAGACACGGCUCGGAUCCCGCAUUGCUGUGGCCCUGGCGUAGGCCGGUGGCUACAGCUCCGAUUCGACCCCUAGCCUGGGAACCUCCAUAUGCUGCGGUAGCAGCCCAAAGAAAUAGCAAAAAGACAAAAAAAAAAAAAGAAAAAAG
ensembl:lncRNA